rnacentral:snoRNA from 1 species
GAGUAUAGAGGAAAAAGAGGGAGAAUGAAAGUGAGAAUGAGAGUGAAGAUGAGAUUGAGAGGAAAGAUGAGAGGGAGGAGAUACAAAAGUGAAAACAAAAACUAAAAACUGAAAUCUAUUUGAAAUUGUUUUGACUUUUGUUACUACUCCCUCCCAUCCUCCCCUUUCAUCAUCUCUCUUAAUCUCCUCCUCACUCCCAUCCUCACUCUCAUUUUCCUCUAUACUCU